rnacentral:rRNA from 1 species
UACGUAGGGUGCAAGCGUUAAUCGGAAUUACUGGGCGUAAAGCGUGCGCAGGCGGUUGUGCAAGACCGAUGUGAAAUCCCCGGGCUUAACCUGGGAACUGCGCUUGUAACUAGCAGGCUAGAGUGUGGCAGAGGGGGGUGGAAUUCCAGGUGUAGCAGUGAAAUGCGUAGAUAUCUGGAGGAACACCGAUGGCGAAGGCAGCCCCCUGGGCUAACACUGACGCUCAUGCACGAAAGCGUGGGGAGCAAACAGG